rnacentral:rRNA from 1 species
UAACGAGGAUUCCCUCAGUAACGGCGAGCGAAGUGGGAACAGCUCGAGCCUGAAAUCCCUGGCAGUCGCUGUCAGGGAGUUGUGGCCGGGAGAGGCAACUGGGCACUGGGCGACGCUGUCGAAGUUGACCUGGAAAGGCGCGUCGGAGAGGGUGAGAGCCCCGUACGCGGCACCGUCGACCAGGGCCGUCAUUGCCUUCGGAGAGUCGGGUUGUUUGGGAAUGCAGCCCAAAGUGGGUGGUAAACUCCAUCUAAAGCUAAAUACUGGCACGAGACCGAUAGCAAACAAGUACCGUGAGGGAAAGGUGAAAAGUACUUUGAAAAGAGAGUCAAAAAGACCGCGAAACCGUUAGGAGGGAAGCGAAUGCAGCUGAAUCGGCUCUGCUCAAGUUCAGGAGCGACGUCGGUCAGCGAUGCCGGUCUGCGAGAGCCGAGAGGCUUCGCUCUCCGGAUAGCUGUCGACUCCUCUGCACUCUUGUGCGAGCCGGCCAACGACGGUCGUCGGCGGCUGAGAAGGGCCUUCGGGUAGGUGCUCGCUCCUCGGAGCGAUACUUAUAGCCGUCGGUCUGGAAGUCCGCGGGCGACCGAGGAUGACUGGCAGUGCGGGCCUUCGGGGCUUUGGGCCGCUCCUGGCCGUUUGGUCACCGCGUGAGGGUCUGCGUGCAGUGCCUGACGACGGAUGAACUCUCGGGCGGGAUGUCGGUGACACGUCGCGCUGCAGUCGUUGGUGCUCGAAUGGCUGCAUCCGACCCGUCUUGAAACACGGACCAAGGAGUGCAACAUGCGUGCGAGUCUUUGGGUGGCAAACCCAGCGGCACAAUGAAAGUGAAGGCAGGCGUUGGUCUGCUCAGGCGAGAGUCUCCUCGCGAGACGCAUCGUCGACCGAUCCCAGGUCACGCCGUGGCGGGAUUUGAGUGAGAGCGUGCCUGUUGCGACCCGAAAGAUGGUGAACUAUGCCUGAAUAGGGUGAAGCCAGAGGAAACUCUGGUGGAAGCUCGUAGCGAUUCUGACGUGCAAAUCGAUCGUCAAAUUUGGGUAUAGGGGCGAAAGACUAAUCGAACCAUCUAGUAGCUGGUUCCCUCCGAAGUUUCCCUCAGGAUAGCUGGAGCCCGGUGCAGUUUUAUCAGGUAAAGCGAAUGAUUAGAGGUCUUGGGGUUGAAACAACCUCAACCUAUUCUCAAACUUUAAAUGGGUAAGAAGCUCGGCUUGCUUAAUUGAAGUCGGGCAUCGAAUGCCGGGGUUCCUAGUGGGCCAUUUUUGGUAAGCAGAACUGGCGAUGUGGGAUGAACCAAAUGCCGGGUUAAGGUGCCCGAAUCGACGCUCAUCAGAUACCAUGAAAGGUGUUGGUUGAUCUAGACAGCAGGACGGUGGCCAUGGAAGUCGGAAUCCG